UGUUUUAUUUAUGGUUGAUUAUUGUUAUAAUCAGUAGCUGAAAGAAAAAAAACACAUGCAUCGCUUUAGCCAAUGGGCUGCUGCCUAGUGGCGCAUUGCCCCGCCCACCACUUCCUUCGCGGGGGGCGGGCUUUCCUCUGUCUUUCCAGCUGCGACUCCGAUGCUGAGCGAGCUGUUAAGGAAAAGGGAGAUGGAGAUUCAUUGAAAAAAGAGCACAAAAAGCGAUAUAUAAGAGUCAGAGGUCGGAGGCGGCGCCAUUUUGUGUUGCGCUGUCCUCUCGUGAGAUCGGUCAGGUUUUUUUUUCUUGCUUUGUUUUGUUUGUGAUGUGAUGGCGAGCCAAUCCCACAGACGAGCCAGACAACUUCUUCCCGUGCUGCCCUGCACAGUGCGGUAGGCCAGCUGCGACAAGGAUCUCUGCCACACCAUUCUGCACCUGCUGUCCUCUUUCACACACACACACAUACACUGACGUUCCCCUGGACUUUUAGACGCUUUAAGGACUUCUACGGACUCAGCACACUCCCACAGGCAGGAGGCGGACCUGGUAUGGACAGAUUGGAAACACCCCUCCAAAAUAAGGUUCUGUUGCAUACAGCUGGUGAGAUCGAAGCAGUGUGAUAUUUGUUAUUGGAAUGGUUUUGUUUUGAACUAAAGCCUAAGUUGUGAAUUUAGAAGGGUGCACCCGGGAAAAUUUUGAAAGUGACUGUGAUUGUAAAAUAAGAUUACUGGUACCGAA